UACGAAGGGGGCGAGCGUUAUUCGGAAUUAUUGGGUGUAAAGGGCGCGUAGGCGGCUUUUCAAGUGACGGGUGAAAUCCCUCGGCUUAACCGAGGAACUGCCUGUCAGACUGGAAGGCUUGAGACCGGGAGAGGUGAGUGGAAUUCCCAGUGUAGCGGUGAAAUGCGUAGAUAUUGGGAGGAACACCAGUGGCGAAGGCGGCUCACUGGACCGGAACUGACGCUGAGGCGCGAAAGCGUGGGGAGCAAACAGG
rnacentral:rRNA from 1 species